ACACUCGCAGCCACUUCUGGUGCUCGCGCGCGCCGUCCGGCGUGUGCAGUUAAACGGGAAACAGCGGGCCUGAACCUGUCGAAUGCGGCUGCCGCGUAGCGGCUUCAGGUCAACCUGUGCUGCCCCCGCAACGGAAGGCGAGCGCAUCGCGGUUGCCGCGGUGCAGAGCCGGCUUCGAGGUCCGCGCGCAAGGCCGCGCGGGCAGAAAAACCACUGCGCGAGAAACUGUUCACUCGCGUGGGAAGGUGAAGCGGCGCUCUCGCCAGCCCGGAUACCGGCCGGAAGACCAGGGUUGAU
rnacentral:ncRNA from 2 species